AGAGUUUGAUCCUGGCUCAGGGUGAACGCUGGCGGUAUGGAUAAGGCACGCAAGUCAAGGGGGCCGCAAGGCAACCGGCAGACGAGGCAGUAAUGCACAGGAACAUACCUCAUAGUCGUGCAUAGUCCCGCGAAAGCGGGGGUAAUUCACGAUAUCUCGCAAGAGGAAAGAUUUAUCGCUAUGAGAGUGGCCUGUGUUGUAUCAGCUAGUUGGUGAGGUAACGGCUCACCAAGGCUACGACGCAUAGGGGGGCUGAGAGGCUGAUCCCCGCCGAUCGGACUGAGACACGGCCGAUACUCCUACGGGAGGCAGCAGCCGAGAAUAUUCGACAAUGGGCGAAAGCCUGAUCGAGCGAUACCGCGUGGUGGAUGAAGCGCUUCGGCGCGUAAACAUCUUUUAUCGGAGAAGAAAUAAAUGACGGUACCCGAUGAAUAAGGGGCUCCUAACUCUGUGCCAGCAGGAGCGGUAAUACAGAGGCCCCAAGCGUUACCCGGAGUUACUGGGCGUAAAGAGUGCGUAGGUGGUUGUAUUAGUCGAUCGUUAAAUCCUCGGGGCUCAACCCUGAGAAUCCGAUCGAAACGGUACAACUCGAGGGAGUGAGAGGUGCAUGGAACUCAUGGUGUAGGGGUGAAAUCCGUUGAUAUCAUGGGGAACACCGAAAGCGAAGGCAGUGCACUGGCACUUUCCUGACACUCAAGCACGAAAGCGUGGGUAGCGAACGGGAUUAGAUACCCUGGUAGUCG
rnacentral:rRNA from 1 species